GAUUCAUUUUCCCUAAUGGUUGCUGAACACCAAGCACUGUUAACCGCCAGAUGCGGGAUCAGGGAGGGAGAGACAGGUCCUAGUCCUCGGGGAAGACGGAUAAACGAAACCAAAAGUCACAACACAGUGUGAAAAUCGCUAGGAUGAAGGAAGGAAGGGAGAAGGAAAGUCUCCCAGAGGGAACCUUGUUCCACAGUGAAAGGAAGGAAAGAAGAAAGGGGAGAAAAGAAGAAGCCUGGUCAAAGGUCUGCUUCUGCCUCUUGUCCCAUGUUCUUAAGAAGCAGCUGUGUAGGCUAUUCUCCCUCAUAUUUUUCUGGUAACUACUGGAGGUUCCUCUCGGAUCUAUUCCGCAUCUUCUGCAGGGAGGUGCCCAUUCUUUCGAAGGUUUUGUUCCAUCCUCCUUGUCUUUAUUGUCUAGAAGACAGAAGAUGAUAGGGGAUCUCAGAGGAGCAUUGGAAGUAAUCACAGGGCAAUGCUGGACAACUGGAAAAAACUCCACAAGAGCAAACUUCACUCACCUUUACAGUAUAUAUUUGAGAAAAUUUAUAAAUGGUUCAAGUCAAAGUUGUUUACAAUGUAAGAUGAGCUGGUGGAAAGGGCAUAAAAGGUUAAUAUUAAAAGGUCUUGCUUUAGAGGGUUCCUUGGAGAAGAGGUUGGUUCCAGGACUGGGGUAAGGAAAAUCUAAUUGCACCUGGAUAAUUUUGUGUCAGAGAAAAAGUAAGUCAUCAAGGCAACAACCCCACAAUGAUGAGACUAAUAAAUGGGUAUAGGCAACCCAAAGGAGUUCCCAAUGGCCAAAUUUGGAACAAUUUAAACAACAAAACAGUAUUAUUGGACUAAAAUGCUUAGAAUAAAUUAAGUAGCCAUGAGUCUAUAGUAUCAAUAAAUAUAAACUUUAAAAUCAUUACUAGGUAAAUAUCACAGUGAUAAUUGUUUCUGGUGAGAUCUACUGAGAGGUAAGUGGGUGAAAGUUUGAAGAAAGUCAGGAUGUUUGUAUAGCCUCAAGGCUAGCAGAGU